UUUUGUAUUUUUCUUUGUUUAAGUAUGGUCAGGGAGUUGGCUGGGUUAUCUAUGUUUUGUUUAAGUAUGGUCAGGGAGUUGGCUGGGUUAUCUAUGUUUUGUUUAAGUAUGGUCAGGGCGUGAGUUGGCUGGGUUAUCUAUGUUUUGUUUAAGUAUGGUCAGGGAGUUGGCUGGGUUAUCUAUGUUUUGUUUAAGUAUGGUCAGGGAGUUGGCUGGGUUAUCUAUGUUUUGUGUUUCUAUGUUGGGUUUUCAUUUGGCCUGAUAUGGUUGUCAAUCAGAGGCAGUGUUAGUCAUUGUCUCUGAUUUGGAACCAUAUUUAGGUAGCCUGUUUUCUGUUGGGUUUUGUGGGUGGUUGGAGGAGGAGGUGUCUGUGUGUUCCACAUGGAACUGUUUCAGUUUUCGUUCGUUCAGUUUAUUGUUCUGUAUUUCAGUGUUCAGUUUAUUGUUCUGUGUUCAGUGUUCAGUUUGUUCUAUUAAAGUUUCAUCAUGACCACUUA